rnacentral:pre_miRNA from 1 species
GCUUAUGGAUAAGCAAAGAAAGUGGUUUCUUGGAAAAGAAUCUACUCCUGAUGAAGAUGCUGAGAA